UAUUGCUAUGCUAAUAUUAUAUUGAUCUAAAGCAAGCGCUUUAGUAAUUUAAACAUACAUGUGCAAGACAUGGUAUUUUAGGAGGCAAUUUAAUAUGCAAAACGGUAAAGUAAAAUGGUUUAACGCUGAAAAAGGUUUCGGUUUCAUCGAAUUUGAAGGUGGAAACGAUGUAUUCGUUCACUUCUCUGCUAUUCAAGAUGAAGGCUUCAAAACUUUAGAAGAAGGUCAAGAAGUUUCUUUUGAAAUCGUUGAAGGUAACCGUGGCCCUCAAGCUGCUAACGUAACUAAACGAUAAUUAAAAAUAAUUUAUUUCAGCCUUCACAAAUUUCAUUGUGAAGGCUGUUU
rnacentral:other from 1 species